rnacentral:lncRNA from 1 species
UCCGACCUGAAAUCACUAUAUUACUACACGGGAAUUUAUGUACUUUGAUAUCAUCAAAGUUCACCUUUAAUAGGAUGGACUAUAAAGGUGAUUAUUGGGUACAUCAUGAAUCGUGUGAGGAAUAUGUAUUAGGGGUGAUAUCCAUAGGCCACUUGAUUGAGUAGGACUAUGAAAUGCAUGGCCAUGCUCAAAUAGUGAUUUGUUUCAUAUAGUCUACUCAUUGAUCAAGAAAAACUCAGAUUAAAUUAUGAAGAGUAUGACACAUUUCAUGACUCGAGUUUAAUCUAGGAUAUUAAGGUUAAAAGGAUUAAAUUACAUUGAAACAUUGGUCACGAAAAG